rnacentral:rRNA from 1 species
AUACCUCUGGUGUACCAGUUGUCGUGCCAACGGCAUAGCUGGGUAGCUAUGUGUGGACGGGAUAAGUGCUGAAAGCAUCUAAGCAUGAAGCCCCCCUCAAGAUGAGAUUUCCCAACUUCGGUUAUAAGAUCCCUCAAAGAUGAUGAGGUUAAUAGGUUCGAGGUGGAAGCAUGGUGACAUGUGGAGCUGACGAAUACUAAUCGAUCGAAGACUUAAUCAA